GUCAAACAGAUUUUGGAAUAAUAGUUAACUGCAAUCUAAAGACUCUUGUUGUAUUGCCCUCAUAAUCUGGAAAUGUUUAAAGUAAUAUAAGGCAUGCUGUAAAAUGUGGAAUGGACUUUAAUAUCAGUUUUCAUGAUUUGGUGCUUAAACUGUUUCUUUUAGUCAGAUUAACCAUAAACAGAGUUGGCAAUCCAAUAAUUCCUCCUGAAUCACCAUGUUUGACUUCUGUGUUGAUUUGAAACAUCAAUAUAUUUGGGGUUUUGUUCAAUCCUUAAGUAAAAAUGGUAAGAUGAAAAAAAAGUGAAAAUCUGCCAGAUGGGGUAGGGAUGUAAUGUUUCAUUUUUUUUGGUAAGAAAUGAGUGCAGACUAGUAUUCUUUAUUGUAAUAUGUUCCAAAGUAAGAAGUCUAUGCAUCAUAGGUGUCAUGACUGGUUUCAAGUUUGUUAUGUCUUGGUUAAGGUGGCACGGUAGUAUUUGCAUUCCAGAAUUUAGGUUGCUCUUUUGUGUACCCUACUUAGGUAAAUGUAUCUAAACAGUGUGAUUGGACAAAAAAUACAGUAUCAACUGAACAUACUUUCCCAAACUGAGGGAUGAAUCAGGUGUAGAAAAAUAUGAAAUAAUUUUACAUACAGAUGAAAAUGAAUUUUUGAGAAUUUUUUUUAAUUUUGUAUUCACUGCACCAUAAAAGACCUAAAAGUACUAGUGGCCUUAGGUUUUUAAAAAUAGCAAAAAAAAGUAAACGGUCAUGAUACAUAUUCAAAUUCAUUUCUGAAUAGUAAAAUGAAAGUACUUCAGUUAACUGUGAAUGUAGAAUUUUUUGCAGUGUUAGAAAGUGGUGAAAAUUCUAAAAAGGCUAUCAUUAUCCCUUAUGGGCCAGGAAAUACUACCGUGCCACCUU
rnacentral:lncRNA from 1 species